rnacentral:rRNA from 1 species
AGUGGACGCUGGCGGUAGGCCUAACACAUGCAAGUCGGACGGCAGCACAGAGGAGCUUGCUCCUUGGGUGGCGAGUGGCGGACGGGUGAGGAAUACAUCGGAAUCUACUCUGACGUGGGGGAUAACGUAGGGAAACUUACGCUAAUACCGCAUACGACCUACGGGUGAAAGCAGGGGAUCUUCGGACCUUGCGCGAUUGAAUGAGCCGAUGUCGGAUUAGCUAGUUGGCGGGGUAAAGGCCCACCAAGGCGACGAUCCGUAGCUGGUCUGAGAGGAUGAGCAGCCACACUGGAACUGAGACACGGUCCAGACUCCUACGGGAGGCAGCAGUGGGGAAUAUUGGACAAUGGGCGCAAGCCUGAUCCAGCCAUACCGCGUGGGUGAAGAAGGCCUUCGGGUUGUAAAGCCCUUUUGUUGGGAAAGAAAUCCAUCUGGUUAAUACCCGGGUGGGAUGACGGUACCCAAAGAAUAAGCACCGGCUAACUUCGUGCCAGCCGCCGCGGUAA